rnacentral:tRNA from 1 species
AGGAAGAUGUUUAUUAUUAUUAGAUUAAUUUGAUGAUAUUAGCAUUUUUUAAAGAUAGAGCGUUAAGCUCAAGAUAUGAUCUGUUAUUUAUUAAUGACAGUUUUUUAUGUCGCCGUCCAAGUUUCUCUUUCUUUUCCCAUGUUUUUGCGAAUGAUGGGGUCGUUUAUUAUUAAAUAGGGCCCAUAGCUCAGGCGGUUAGAGUGCACCCCUGAUAAGGGUGAGGUCGGUAGUUCGAGUCUACCUGGGCCCACCACCCAUUUUUAGGGGCCGUAGCUCAGCUGGUAGAGCGCCUGCUUUGCAAGCAGGAUGUCAGCGGUUCGAUUCCGCUCGGCUCCACCAUUUGCAAUUAUUAAUAUUUUUUUGUUUUAAUACAUAAGAUAUAUUAAAAUUGAAUAGAAGAUAGAUUUUUUUGUAUUAUAGAUGAUUGCAUUGUAUGCGAGCAUUUAUAUUACCGACGUUAGAUAACCGGACGUUGAUAAUUUAUCUCAGGAAUAGGUCUUGAAGAAGCAUUGUUAUAGAGAUGAUGUUUUUUUGAUUGAUUUUAAGUUAUAAUGAUAAUUAUGACUAUUGACAAUGAGAGUG